CGUGUGCCUUGUUCCUCUGCUCUCUGUUUCUCUCCGUUGCAAGCAGGCUGAAAGAUUGGUCUGAUUUAUUUUCAUCUCUGCUGCCAGGGGCCCUAGGGCAAUGCCAGCGAUCUACAACGUGGCGACAUGGUGAGCGAUUGUGGAGUAGCCUUGAAUGGUUGGUGUGACUUGCUUUGACCUUUGCUGCUGGGUGCCUUGGCGGAGUGCUGGCGAGCUAUUGAGUCUCAUCAUGAAUGCAGUGACUUAUGAGGACGUGCAUGUGAACUUCACUCAAGAGGAGUGGGCUCUGCUGGAUCCUUCUCAGAAGAAGCUCUACAAAGAUGUCAUGCUGGAGACCUACAGGAACCUCAAUGCUAUAGGAUUUAAUUGGGACGACAAAAAUAUUCAAGAACAUUGUCCAAGUUCUAGAAGACACAGAAGUCAUGCUCAAAGGCAUGAAAGGAUUCAUACAGAAAUGAACCCCCUUGGAAUUAUUCAAUUUGUUGAAGCCUUUGCUCAACAUCGUCUCCAACUUCGUAAAAGAGCACAAACUGGAAAGAAACUCUAUGAAUGGAAGCAAUGUGGUAAAGCCUUUGAAGAUCACAGUCAUCUUAAAAGCUAUGAAGGAAUUCAUACGGGAGAGAAACCUUAUGAAUGUCAUCAGUGUGAAAAAGCCUUUUCAAGUCACAGUAAUCUCCUACAACCUAAAGGAACACAUACUGGAGAGAAAUGCUAUGAAUGUGAUCUGUGUGGUAAAGCCUUUUCACAACAUAGUCGGCUUAAAAGGCAUGGAAGAAUUCAUACUGGAGAGAAACCCUACAGAUGUAAUAACUGUGAGAAAGCCUUUUCACAACAUAUUCACCUCCAGUCACAUAGAAGAAUUCCUACUGGAGAGAAACCCUACAAAUGUAAUAAAUGUGAGAAAGCCUUUUUACAACACUAUAACCUCCAAAGACAUAAAAGAAUACAUAUUGGAAAGAAACCCAAUGAAUGUGGUCUAUGUGUGAAAGCCUGUAUAAGUCACAGGUAUCUUCAAAAGCAUAAAUAAAUAUUCAUACUUGUGAUGGUUUGUAUAUCCUUGGACCAGGGAGUGGCACCAUUUGAAGGUUUAGCCUUGUUGGAAUAGGUGUGACCUGGUUGGAAUGGGUGUGUCACUCUGGGUGUGGGUAUAAGAUCCUCA
rnacentral:lncRNA from 1 species